UGCGGCUGUGUCAAAUUCAGUCCUCGUCCAGCCAAACGGCUGCCACAGCGCAGCUUGUGAGCCCCACCGCCCCUCUCCCUCCACCCUGGGGAUAAAUAAACGCUCCAGACACCA
ensembl:snoRNA